rnacentral:rRNA from 1 species
AGCAGCCGCGGUAAUUCCAGCUCCAAUAGCGUAUAUUAAAGUUGUUGCAGUUAAAAGCUCGUAGUUGAAUUUCGGGAUCAAUUUAUCGGUCGUGCCUACGGUAUGAACUGGUACAAUUGGUUUCUCCCUUCUGACGAAGCAUGAUGCCAUUAAUUUGGUGUCGUGGGGAAUCAGGACUGUUACUUUGAAAAAUUAGAGUGUUUAAAGCAAGCAUUAGCUUGAAUACAUUAGCAUGGAAUAAUGAAAUAGGACGUUUGAUCCUAUUUCGUUGGUUUCUAGGAUCGACGUAAUGAUUAAUAGGGAUAGUUGGGGGGCAUUAGUAUUCAAUUGUCAGAGGUGAAAUUCUUGGAUUUAUUGAAGACUAACUACUGCGAAAGCAUUUGCCAAGGAUGUUUUCAUUAAUCAAGAACGAAAGUUAGGGGAUCGAAGACGAUCAGAUACCGUCGUAGU